GGAUGUGAGGGUGAUCUGGCUGCGACAUCUGUCACCCCACUGAUCACCAGGGUUGAUUCAGCUGAUCUGGCUGGCUAGGCAGGUGUCCCCUUCCUCCCUCACCGCUCCAUGUGUGUCCCUCCCGAAACUGCACGCUCGGUCAAAGAGGACGACCAUCCCCGACAGAGGAGGACCAUUCUUCGGUUAAGGGUACAGGAGUAGCUGUGCUCCCCUACUAGAACCUUCAAACAAGUUCUCGAAAACAACAAAAAAAAAAAAAACCCUUAGGCCAGAUGUAGUGGCUCAUGUCUGUAA
rnacentral:snRNA from 1 species